rnacentral:rRNA from 1 species
AGUUCGGAUUGCAGUCUGCAACUCGACUGCAUGAAGCUGGAAUCGCUAGUAAUCGCGAAUCAGAAUGUCGCGGUGAAUACGUUCCCGGGUCUUGUACACACCGCCCGUCACACCAUGGGAGUCAGUAACGCCCGAAGUCAGUGACCCAACCGAAAGGAGGGAGCUGCCUAAGGCGGGACCGAUAACUGGGGUGAAGUCGUAACAAGGUAAC